AGUAUGCAUAAAAGCCAGAACAGAUGACAGAGCUCAGUAAGGAAGACCUUACUAUUUGUGACAUCUAUCAGAAUUUAACUUGAGAAACUAUGAUUUCAAGGACCUGAGGGCACUUGCUUUGCUCCUGUCAGUACACACUCCCAAACAGUUAAACCCAGCUCUAAUUCCAACUCUGCAAGAGCUUUUAAGCAAAUGCAGGACUUGUCUGCAACAGAGAAGCUCACUCCAAGAGCAAGAAGCCAAAGAAAGAAAAACUAAAGAGAAGUUUCCGUUUUGGCAUGUGUUUCCACAGAUGAUGAAGGAGCAACUCCCAUUAAAAGGCGGCGUGUUAGCAGUGAUGAGGAGCACACUGUAGACAGCUGCAUCAGUGACAUGAAAACAGAAACCAGGGAGGUCCUGACCCCAACGAGCACUUCUGACAAUGAGACCAGAGACUCCUCAAUUAUUGAUCCAGGAACUGAGCAAGAUCUUCCUUCCCCUGAAAAUAGUUCUGUUAAAGAAUACCGAAUGGAAGUUCCAUCUUCGUUU
rnacentral:sRNA from 1 species